GGCCGAGUGGCGAAAUGGCAUACGCUGGGGAUUUAAAAUCCCCUCUCGGUAAACGGGGUGCGGGUUCGAAUCCCGCCUCGGCCA
rnacentral:tRNA from 1 species